ACGGGUGAGUGCGCGUAGUUAUCUGCCCUUAUCCCAGACAUAACAUCCAGAAAUUGGUGCUAAUAUCUGAUGAGGCCUUCGGGUCAAAGUUUUCGAACGGAUAGGGAUGAGCCUGCGUCUGAUUAGCUAGUUGGUAAGGUAAUGGCUUACCAAGGCGACGAUCAGAGCUGGUCUGACAGGACGAUCAUCCACACUGGAACUGAGACACGGUCCAGACUCCUACGGGAGGCAGCAGUGAGGAAUUUUGCACAAUGGGGGCAACCCUGAUGCAGCGACGCCGCGUGCGGGAUGAAGGAGCUUUGCUCUGUAAACCGCUGUCGAAUGGGAAGAAAAGGAUCUUAUGGGUCCUGGGACUGUACCAUUAAAGGAAGCACCGGCUAACUACGUGCCAGCAGCCGCGGUAAUACGUAGGGUGCGAGCGUUGUCCGGAAUUACUGGGUGUAAAGGGUGCGCAGGCGGACUUGUGCGUCGGACGUUAAAGAUCUCGGCUUAACCGAGGGAGUGCCUUCUAAACGGCCAGUCUUGAAUAUGAGAGAGGAUUAUAGAAUUCCUGGUGUAGCGGUGAGAUGCGGAGA
rnacentral:rRNA from 1 species